GACGAACGCUGGCGGCGUGCCUAAUACAUGCAAGUCGAGCGAAUGGAUGGGAGCUUGCUCCCUGAAGUUAGCGGCGGACGGGUGAGUAACACGUGGGCAACCUGCCUGUAAGACUGGGAUAACUUCGGGAAACCGGAGCUAAUACCGGAUACAUUCUUUCUUCGCCUGAAGAAAGAUGGAAAGAUGGUUUCGGCUAUCACUUACAGACGGGCCCGCGGCGCAUUAGCUAGUUGGUGAGGUAACGGCUCACCAAGGCAACGAUGCGUAGCCGACCUGAGAGGGUGAUCGGCCACACUGGGACUGAGACACGGCCCAGACUCCUACGGGAGGCAGCAGUAGGGAAUCUUGCGCAAUGGACGAAAGUCUGACGGAGCAACGCCGCGUGAGCGAAGAAGGCCUUCGGGUCGUAAAGCUCUGUUGUUAGGGAAGAACAAGUACCAGAGUAACUGCUGGUACCUUGACGGUACCUAACCAGAAAGCCACGGCUAACUACGUGCCAGCCGCCGCCGUAACAC
rnacentral:rRNA from 1 species